CAUUAUUGAGGGCGUGUGGGCUAAUAACCCCACCAACCCCAAUCCUUUGUUUACCGCCCCCCAUGUGGUUUGUUUGGGCGCGGUUGGGCCAAAAAAAAAUGUUAACCUAAGGGCGGGCAACUUUUUUUGAUCCCGAACGCACAAAAGUAUUUUGAUGCCCAAAAGACUACCAAAGUUAAAACAUUCUGAUAAUGUAUGAUGUCUGAAAAUUUAUUUAAAACAAGCAAAACUUUCAACAACGGAUCUCUUGGUUCCGGCAUCGAUGAAGAACGCAGCGAAAUGCGAUAAGUAAUGUGGACCGCAGUACUCAGCGACUCAUCGAAUCUUUGAACGCAUAUUGCGCCUCUUGGUAUCCCAAGAGGCACACCUGUUCGAGCGUCAUUAUGCAUAUUAUCAAGCUUAGCUUGGUCUUGGGCCAAUCUGCUUUUAUGCAGAGGUUUAAAAGUCAGUGGCGGUUCGGUUAAGUGUUCCAGCGUAGUUGUAAUUGUCAUAGCUGUGAGAACGCUUUUCUUUUGUAGCCUGUCAAAAUUAAUGACACCCACCAGGCCUGCCUGCGCAGACCUGGUUGGAUGUCCCGAAUUAUUGACCUCGGAUCAGGUGAGGAUACCCGCUGAAUUUAA
rnacentral:rRNA from 1 species